rnacentral:rRNA from 1 species
CCUACGGGGUGCAGCAGUGGGGGAUAUUGCACAAUGGGGGGAACCCUGAUGCAGCGACGCCGCGUGGGUGAAGAAGCGCCUCGGCGCGUAAAGCCCUGUCAGCAGGGACGAAAAUGACGGUACCUGAAGAAGAAGCGCCGGCUAACUACGUGCCAGCAGCCGCGGUAAUACGUAGGGGGCAAGCGUUAUCCGGAUGUACUGGGUGGAAAGGGGGCGCAGGCGGCGAUGCAAGCCAGGAGUGAAAGCCCGGGGCCCAACCCAGGGACUGCUCUUGGAACUGCGUGGCUGGAGUGCAGGAGGGGCAGGCGGAAUUCCUGGUGUAGCGGUGAAAUGCGUAGAUAUCAGGAGGAACACCGGUGGCGAAGGCGGCCUGCUGGACUGCAACUGACGUUGAGGCCCGAAAGCAUGGGGAGCAAACAGGAUUAGAUACCCCUGUAGUC